AGAGUUUGAUCCUGGCUCAGAUUGAACGCUGGCGGCAGGCCUAACACAUGCAAGUCGAGCGGAUGAGAGGAGCUUGCUCCUUGAUUUAGCGGCGGACGGGUGAGUAAUGCCUAGGAACCUGCCUGGUAGUGGGGGAUAACGUCCGGAAACGGGCGCUAAUACCGCAUACGUCCUACGGGAGAAAGCAGGGGACCUUCGGGCCUUGCGCUAUCAGAUGAGCCUAGGUCGGAUUAGCUAGUUGGUGAGGUAAUGGCUCACCAAGGCGACGAUCCGUAACUGGUCUGAGAGGAUGAUCAGUCACACUGGAACUGAGACACGGUCCAGACUCCUACGGGAGGCAGCAGUGGGGAAUAUUGGACAAUGGGCGAAAGCCUAAUCCAGCCAUGCCGCGUGUGUGAAGAAGGUCUUCGGAUU
rnacentral:rRNA from 1 species